GAUGAACGCUGGCGGCGUGCCUAAUACAUGCAAGUCGAACGCACCUUCUUUAUCGCCGAUUGCUUGCACUUAACGAUAAAGAUUUGAGUGGCGAACGGGCGCGUAACUCGUGGGCAUCCUGCCCAAAAGUGGGGGAUAACACCUGGAGAUAGGUGCUCAUACUGCUAAAUCUUAGUUACCGCAUGGUUACAAUGUAAAAGUUGGCCACACUACCGCUUUUGUAUGGUGCCGCGGCGCAUUAGCUAGUUGGUAGGGUAAAGGCUUACCAAGGCAAUGAUGCAUAGCCGAACUGAGAGGUUGAUCGGCCACACUGGGACUGAGACACGGCCCAAACUCCUACGGGAGGCAGCAGUAGGGAAUCUUCCACAAUGGGCGAAAGCCUGAUGGAGCAACGCCGCGUGGGUGAGGAAGUUCUUCGGAUCGUAAAACCCGUUGGUAAGGGAAGAAAGUGCGGGAAAUGAACUGUUCACGUUGCGACGGUAUCUAACCAGAAAGCCACGGCUAACUACGUG
rnacentral:rRNA from 1 species